UACGUAGGGGGCAAGCGUUGUCCGGAAUCAUUGGGCGUAAAGCGCGUGUAGGCGGUUCGGUAAGUCCGCUGUGAAAGUCGGGGGCUCAACCCUCGAAUGCCGGUGGAUACUGUCGGACUAGAGUACGAAAGAGGGUCGCGGAAUUCCCGGUGUAGAGGUGAAAUUCGUAGAUAUCGGGAGGAACACCAGUGGCGAAGGCGGCGACCUGGGCCAAUACUGACGCUGAGGUGCGAAAGCGUGGGGAGCAAACAGG
rnacentral:rRNA from 1 species